GGCGGGCGGGCACAGCUGGCUGGUCGACCACGGGACGCCACGGGCGAUUCCGCGGCCGCUAGAUCAAUUCGCCCUCGCGUGAGUCGUAUUCACUUUGGAUGGGGAAUAACCACCGCAUACGGUGGCUAAUACCGCAUAAUGCAGCGGCACCUAAUGGUGGCAGUUGUUAAAGCGGGGGAUCGAAAGACCUCGCGUCUGAAGAGGAGCCUGCGGCAGAUUAGCUAGUUGGUAAGGUAACGGCUUACCAAGGCGAUGAUCUGUAGCCGGCCUGAGAGGGCGGUCGGCCACACUGACACUGACAUACGGGUCAGACUCCUACGGGAGGCAGCAGUCGGGAAUUUUGGGCAAUGGGCGAAAGCCUGACCCAGCAACGCCGCGUGAAGGAUGAAAUCCCUCGGGAUGUAAACUUCGCAAGAACAGGAAGAAUAAGUAAGGGUUAACAUCUCUUACGAUGACGGUACUGUUUGUAAGCUCCGGCUAACUCCGUGCCAGCAGCCGCGGUAAUACGGGGGGAGCAAGCGUUGUUCGGAUUUACUGGGCGUAAAGGGCGCGUAGGCGGCCACCGCAAGUCGACUGUGAAAUCUCCGGGCUUAACUCGGAAAGGUCAGCCGAUACUGCGGGGCUAGAGUGCAGAAGGGGCAACUGGAAUUCUCGGUGUAGCGGUGAAAUGCGUAGAUAUCGAGAGGAACACCUGCGGCGAAGGCGGGUUGCUGGGCUGACACUGACGCUGAGGCGCGAAAGCUAGGGGAGCGAACGGGAUUAGAUACCCCGGUAGUCCUAGCCUUAAACGAUGAAUGCUUGGUGUCUGGGGUUUUAUAGUCCCCGGGUGCCGUCGCUAACGCUUUAAGCAUUCCGCCUGGGGAGUACGGUCGCAAGACUGAAACUCAAAGGAAUUGACGGGG
rnacentral:rRNA from 1 species